rnacentral:rRNA from 1 species
UACGUAGGGGGCGAGCGUUGUCCGGAUUUAUUGGGCGUAAAGAGCGCGUAGGCGGCAUAUCAAGUCGUGCGUGAAAUACUCUGGCUCAACUGGAGUAGGUCGUGCGAAACUGAUAGGCUUGAGGUCGGGAGGGGAAAGUGAAAUUCCCGGUGUAGUGGUGGAAUGCGUAGAUAUCGGGAGGAACACCGGUGGCGAAGGCGGCUUUCUGGACCGAAACUGACGCUGAGGCGCGAAAGCGUGGGGAGCGAACUGG